CACGUAGGGGGCAAGCGUUGUCCGGAUUUAUUGGGCGUAAAGAGCUCGUAGGCGGUUCGAUAAGUCGGGUGUGAAACCUCCAGGCUCAACCUGGAGACGCCACCCGAUACUGUUGUGACUAGAGUCCAGUAGGGGAGCGUGGAAUUCCUGGUGUAGCGGUGAAAUGCGCAGAUAUCAGGAGGAACACCAGUGGCGAAGGCGGCGCUCUGGGCUGGAACUGACGCUGAGGAGCGAAAGCGUGGGGAGCGAACAGG
rnacentral:rRNA from 1 species